UUGAUACAGCAAUGCGAGGCACGGGCGAGGAGCUAUUAUUCCACACUUGAACUUCAGCAUACCUUGUGCAGCUUUGGAACCCAUUCAUAGGUUCCUUAGAGACAUGAAGGACCUCUCAGUCCUAAAAGUUCUGGAUGAACCAGAUGAACAGCUUUCUUCUAUAUGGGCAUUGAUGUCACAGCGAUCUCCCAAGCCCUCUCCUCUGCCUGAUCUGCCUCAAUUGCCAGGUGGAGACCAUGAAACAAAGGGGAAAGGUUCUCGAUUUGCGAAGUUCAUUGCCGAACGACGAGAAGUAUUCCGAAAGUCAACUCUUGAUAACGAGGAGGAAAAACUUCCAUCUAAUGUGAUCCGUAGCAAGCUAUGACCAUUCAAACUUUGGGCAUUCUACAGGUUGAAACGUCUGAUCAGAUGAAAGAAAACUGAUGGGAACUGCAUCACAAUGAUUAAAAACAGCGUUGCUUUUGGUUUUGAGUGUGUUCUUCUAUAUCUUUAUAUGAUUGGCUCCAUGGCUUCAGAGAUGAAGACAUUUAGCUACGAUUCUAAAUGUUCUGAAUCGAUUUUUUUAUUUCACCAACAGGUAUUUGAAAUGAAACCUCCCUUUACGAUUAGUAUUUUUCCUUUA